GAAGUCCCGCCUCUCCCCUCGAGUCUUUGCCCCAAUCCCUGCAGGCAACCCUUCUGUCUCCGCUCCGGGACUCUCUGAACCAGGAAAAAGAACAAGUGUUGGUGGAAGUUCGCCGUUAGUGUGAAAAAAAGGGAAGGGAAGAAAAGGUCUAGACAUGUCGGCGGCCCCGGACCCCGCCCUUGGCCGUUCCGCCAUCUUGGGGAGGACAGAGCUCUUCCCAGCUUCCUUAGCGGCACUCUGGGGACCACUUAGGCCCGCGGUUGCCAGGGCAACGGGAGCAUCCUGGGGCCAGUGAAGUUCAGUGAACUGCAAACCUCAAGACCUUUGCCUUCACAUUUUGAGUACCACUUCCUAAGGAAAGCCUGUGUCUCCUCCACUACAAAGCGUUAGUGCUGGAAGGUUCCCGCUAAACCCCAGCCUCAGAAAGAAAGAAUUAAGUACCUGAGAGAGGGAGCAACUUUUUUCAGAGAUGAUAAACAGUUGGUUUAAGAUCCAGAUCUUGGUCCCGAGAACCGGUCUGGGGUCUUUGAAUAUCUGUGCUAAACUCAGAGAGGUAUAUUCUGUGGACUUUGUCUUUUUCAGAUUUGACUCGUCUUUUCCCCACAUACGUUCUAUUACCAUUCAGUAAGUGUUUCUUCGGUAUUUUGGCAAACAAUCUCUCACACCAAACCUCUUUUCUUAGUCCCGAGGCGUCUGGAGUCCUCUUGAAGAUACAGCCUCCAUGUUCCUGAGGCUCAACAAAUACCAUCAGUGCUUGCAGCUAGGGAGCUCCAAACUUAUCUCCCCACCAACUUCUGCUGCCAAGGAUUAUGUCCAAUGGGUUGGCUGAAAGAGAAUGGCCCUCCGGGGUCCACAGUGCUAGCAACCACCGCAUCCAGGAAGAGUGGGACCAGUGUCCUUCCUCAGCUGGGGGCAGGGUGUGGAGGAGGCACAGAGGUCCUUGUGCUCACAGAUAAGCACCAGGGGAACCAGGAAUGUUAAUCGCACAAGGUAGUUACUUAAUGGGCGAGAUGGAUAACCUGGUUUUGCUUAGAAGGCUGGGAACAGAUGUGGUUUAUAGCUUGGUGACCUUUGGUGUAUCUGCAUGGUCAAAACCAUACUGGGUCUUGAGUUUGUUUUUUUUUUUCAGUUAAUUUAUAGAACAAAUCUUUAUGAAAGACGCC
rnacentral:lncRNA from 1 species